GACGGAGGGGGCUAGCGUUGUUCGGAAUUACUGGGCGUAAAGCGCACGUAGGCGGAUAGGUAAGUUAAAAGUAAAAGCCCAGGGCUCAACCUUGGAAUCGCUUUUAAUACUGCUUAUCUAGAGUAAGAUAGGGGAUAACGGAAUUCCUAGUGUAGAGGUGAAAUUCUUAGAUAUUAGGAGGAACACCGGGGGCGAAAGCGGUUAUCUGGGUCUUAACUGACGCUAAUGUGCGAAAGCGUGGGGAGCAAACAGG
rnacentral:rRNA from 1 species